rnacentral:rRNA from 1 species
UACGGAGGGAGCUAGCGUUGUUCGGAAUUACUGGGCGUAAAGCGCACGUAGGCGGCUUUGUAAGUUAGAGGUGAAAGCCCGGGGCUCAACCCCGGAAUUGCCUUUAAGACUGCAUCGCUUGAAUCCAGGAGAGGUGAGUGGAAUUCCGAGUGUAGAGGUGAAAUUCGUAGAUAUUCGGAAGAACACCAGUGGCGAAGGCGGCUCACUGGACUGGUAUUGACGCUGAGGUGCGAAAGCUUGGGGAGCAAACAGG